GAUAACUGGCUUGUGGCAGCCAAGCGUUCAUAGCGACGUUGCUUUUUAAUCCUUCGAUGUCGGCUCUUCCUAUCAUUGUGAAGCAGAAUUCACCAAGUGUUGGACUGUUCACCCACCAAUAGGGAACAUGAGCUGGGUUUAGACCGUUGUGAGACAGGUU
rnacentral:ncRNA from 1 species